rnacentral:rRNA from 1 species
AGAGUUGAUCCUGGCUCAGGAUAAACGCUGGCGGCGCACAUAAGACAUGCAAGUCGAACGGACAGAACUCUAUCUUACGAUUAGAAUGAUGUUAGUGGCGGACUGGUGAGUAACACGUAAGUAACCUGCCUAUUAGAGGGGAAUAACAGUGAGAAAUCAUUGCUAAUACCGCAUAAGCUGACGAAGUCGCAUGACUUAGUCAGAAAAGGAGCAAUCCGCUAAUAGAUGGGCUUGCGACUGAUUAGCUAGUUGGUUAGGUAACGGCUGACCAAGGCGACGAUCAGUAGCCGAGCUGAGAGGCUCAACGGCCACAUUGGGACUGAGAUACGGCCCAGACUCCUACGGGAGGCAGCAGUCGGGAAUAUUGCGCAAUGGAGGAAACUCUGACGCAGUGACGCCGCGUAUAGGAAGAAGGUUUUCGGAUUGUAAACUAUUGUCGUUAGGGAAGAAAAAGGACAGUACCUAAGGAGGAAGCCCCGGCUAACUAUGUGCCAGCAGCUGC